rnacentral:piRNA from 1 species
UACACUGUCUUAGGACCUCCAAUAUUGC